rnacentral:misc_RNA from 1 species
AACGCAUAUUGCGCCCAUCAGUAUUCUGUUGGGCAUGCCUGUUCGAGCGUCAUUUCCACCCUCAAGCCCUAGCUGCUUGGUGUUGGGGUUCUCUACACCUUGGUGUAGGCCCCGAAAAUCAGUGGCGGUCUCACCGGGACCCCGAGCGCAGUAGAUCUCUCUCGCUUAGGGGCGACCGGUGGGUUUCUAGCCGUUAAACCCCCCAAGUCUUAAAAGGUUGACCUCGGAUCAGGUAGGAAUACCCGCUGAACUUAA